AGACAUGGUCGAGGCCGAAGCCUCGGCCUUAACCGUCAGUGAGGUGGGCAGCUAAUGGGAAGCCAUAGGCUAGAUGCAGGGGCACCACAUGUUUUCAGUUCAAAAUGAAAAACGGGGCUAUAAAACCACAGGCCCAAACCUUAGAGAGGCAUAUGUGGCUAUAUUCAUUUCAAUUGUACACUGAAUACAUUGUGCGGAGGCCCCUUAUUAUCUUUGGUUGUGUGUGCUUUGUGGCUCGACUUUCUCUAAUCCCCAUCUCUAAAUUGUGUGAUUGUGUGUGAAGGCUAAUCUAGCCUUAGAUUCAGUGAGGAUCAGGGCUAAACGCCGUGUGGGUUAGCACAAAAAAAAGUGACCCGAUGAUAGAAGGGUAGUAUGCUCCCUCUCUCUCUCUCAAAUUUUUUCUUUUUUUUGUUUUAUUUCCAUCUCUCUAAAUAUUUUAGACCGAUCUUUUCAUGGUUUACAUUUUUAUAUAGAAAAGUAUAAAAUAAAGUUAUUUAUGUUUGGCACAAAGAGAUUAUUAUCGACUCUAGCCGCAGCAUGAGAAACAAGGACGUUGCG
rnacentral:lncRNA from 1 species